CAUGGCACUUAAACUCUUGGGAAUCCACAAUGCCACAGUACCAUUUAAAAUGGAAACUCACAUCUGUGGAGACCCUUGAUUUGUGACCCUGACUAUAGCUGGUAUUCCUUAAUGACUGGUUAAGGGCUCCACUUUCAGAUAAAACAUAGACCUGAAUGGCAUCAUCCAGUAUCCAGGGAAACCAUGUAAGGACCUCGCUCACUGUGUACUUCUCUUAUUCAGAGUUUAAAAGCUAGCUGAGUACUGAAUAAGACAGACUCAUGCCCUCCUCUUCAGGUUCCAGUGUCAUAGAAUAUGGCACAUAGUAGGCAUGCAGCGAACAACUGUCCACAGAAUGAAUCAAUAUUGGAGAAUAAAGUUUCAUACUGACGGCUCCAGAUCUUUGAUCUGGUUUCUCUGUUGGGUCACAUUAAAAAUGUCCCGCCUUACUGUUGCCUGUUGCAUGCCAGCUUGGCAUGUUUAGCCUGUGGUUUCCCACAUUCCAAACAGUGUGGAUUGCUUGAAACUUUACUUCAGCAUUUUCUGGAGUGUUUCUUCUGCCCACCCUUCUUGCAGCAACUCUGCUUCAGUUCCCUGUAUGCCAGCUGCUGCAAUAGCUUGCUGUCACUAAGCCUCGACAUGCGUCCACCCCAGAGGAGUUAAGGGAGACCACAUCAAUGCUGGAGAGCUGGCUGUCUUCCAGCACUGCACUGUGGGUCAUUCUAACUUGUGCUUUGGUGAGGUCUAUUCUCCUCAUUGCCUUUCAGGGGUGAGGGUGGAGGGGGUUAAGAUGGAGUACUACAGAACAGAAACAGAAAGCUCAGUGUGUGGGUAGAAAAUUCCCCUUUCCUCUUGAGCAAAAGAGACCUGUUCAGAGGCUGUUCCACUUAUAGAUUCCCUUCUGGACUAAUUUCUUCCCAAAGUUUUCUGGUGCUGACACCUGUAAACCAGAUGGGUUAUCCACCGACAUACUGAGCUAUAUAGGACCAGAAUAGGAUUGUGUUUCCUCCUUCCAAAGACAUCUGCUGUUGUGCACUGGUGAGACCACAGUAUCCACUAUUUGAAGGUAAUAUUUGGUAUUUCUGAGAUCUAAAAGUACGCAUGUACUUUAACCUUAAACAAUUUAAAUAAUAACAACAUUUAAAUGGUUUUGUACAUACACUUGGAGUACAUAAGGGAGUAAAAACUGCUUUCCUUCUUAUUCUGUAUUCGCCCAUAUAUUCAUUCAUACAAUUUUGGUUGCCAGUUGCAAAAAUAUAAUUCAAACUGGUUUAACGGGUGUGAAAAUGCCUCGAGAGUGACACGUUGUUUAGUGGACAGGGGGCAAUGUGAUGGAGUAGCGGAAACUCCCUUUCUUGCUCUCUACUUCCCAGAGCUUCCACCAAAAUUACAAAACAAUGGUGAACAGUUUAUUCCCAUUUCCUAAAUGGGUUAAAAAACUAUUGUUAUUAGUAAAACUAAAUUUUAGUUGAAAUUGAAUCACAUCACUUUUCUUCUUUCUUUCCUCCAGCCCUUCUCAUGGUCCCUCACUCUCAAAUCAAUACUUCUUUUACUUUUAUAUAUCAUACUUUUUUAAUAUAUCAUACAAAUGUAUGUCUAACCUGCUUAAUCUGGCUUUUUGUUGUUGUUGGUUUUGUUUAUAUGGAUCAAGGCUCAGCAUUCUUCACUGGACAAUCAAUUAGAGAACUCAUCUUUGGGAGAGGCUAACUCUCUCCCAUCACUCACCAGUUGCUUAUAGUUCUCUGUUGUGUGCUGGAAUUCCACAAAACCACCCCCACCCCAUUUUAACUUAUCCACUGUAUUGUCACCGUUCCCAUCUGGAGAGAACAUUUUUUCUGACUGAUUUCAGGAAAUUGAAAGAAAAAUCGCUAAUAUGAAGUCAAUGGCGCUCGAGAGAAAAGAUGUGGAUGUAAGGCUUUCUCCUCUCACAGAAUUAUCCCACGAUUCAUGUGCUAAGGUAGUGACUUCACACACUGUAAUGACAUUGGUGGCAGGUCCAUCUAUGGGGAAAAUGUGAGGCCGAGAACACCAUGAAGAUGCAUGGCUUCUUGCCCAUGGCAAAUGCUGGACCAGACAGACACAUGCGGGUCCCAGUUUUUACCUGCACUGUUAAGACUGAGUGGCUGAAUACAGUCUUUGGGAAAGUGAAGGAAGGCAGCAGCACCAUGGAUUCUAUGGACCAUUUUGGGUUCAGGCAUGGCAAGGCCAGCAGGAAGAUCACCAUUUCCAACUGUGGGCUAAUUAAUUCCUUUGACUUACGGGUCUCUUACCGACUAGAUUAUUCCUUCUGUAGCUCAGGAGAAGCCCCCAUCUGCUAGCAAUACUCUGUAACCUCUGCCAUCACUGAAUUCUUUGGAUUCCAUAUUCUGUCUCUUUCUUUCCAAGUGUAGCUGGAUUACAAAGUUGUUUAUGUUUAUUAAUAAAAGCUAAAUAAAAAAAUUAAA